UACGGAGGAUCCGAGCGUUAUCCGGAUUUAUUGGGUUUAAAGGGUGCGCAGGCGGGAGACUCAGUCGGCGGUGAAAUUUUGCAGCUCAACUGUAAAAGUGCCUUCGAAACUGGUUUCCUUGAGUGUAGAUGAAGUAGGCGGAAUUUGUGGUGUAGCGGUGAAAUGCAUAGAUAUCACGAGGAACUCCGAUUGCGCAGGCAGCUUACUAAACUACUACUGACGCUCAGGCACGAAGGCGUGGGGAUCAAACAGGAUUAGAUACCCU
rnacentral:rRNA from 1 species